ensembl:lncRNA
GGGGUUGGGGUUGGGGUCAGAGACAGAGGUCGGGGUUAGGGUUUGGGGUUAGGGUCAGGGGACGGGGUUUGGGAUUAUAUAGGGAUUAGGGGAUUUGGGUUUGGGUUAGGAUUAGGGUCAGGGGUCAUGGUUAGGGAUUAUAUAGGGAUUAGGGGAUUCAGGUUUGGGUUAGGGUUAGGGUCAGGGGUCAUGGUUAGGAAUUAUAUAGGGAUUAUAUAGGGAUUAGGGGAUUAGAGGAUUCAGGUUUACAUAGGGAUUAGGGGAUUCAGGUUUAUAUAGGGAUUAGGGGAUUCGGGUUUGGGUUAGGAUUAGGGUCAGGGGUCAUGGUUAGGGAUUAUAUAGGGAUUAGGGGAUUUGGGUUUGGGUUAGGGUUAGGGUCAGGUUGGGGUUAGGGAUUAUAUAGGGAUUAGGGAUUAGGGGAUUCAGGUUUCUAUGGGGAUUAGGGGAUUUGGGUUUGGGUUAGGGUCAGGGGUUGGGGUUAGGAUUAUAUAGGGAUUAAGGGAUUCAGGUUUCUAUAGGGAUUAGGGGAUUCGGGUUUGGGUUAGGAUUGGGGUCAGGGGUUGGGUUGGGGAUUAUAUAGGGAUUAGGGGAUUCAGGUUUCUAUAGGGAUUAGGGCAUUCGGGUUUGGGUUAGGGAUUAAGGUUAAGGGUUGGGGUUAGAGUAUAGGAUUUGGGCGUGGGGUUUGGGUUAGGGUUAGGGUUUGGAUGUGGGGUUAGGGUUAUGAGAUGGGAUUAGGGUUAGGGUUUAGGAUUGGGGU